rnacentral:rRNA from 1 species
UACGUAGGGUGCAAGCGUUAAUCGGAAUUACUGGGCGUAAAGCGUGCGCAGGCGGUUUUGUAAGUCUGACGUGAAAUCCCCGGGCUCAACCUGGGAAUUGCGUUGGAGACUGCAAGGCUAGAAUCUGGCAGAGGGGUGUAGAAUUCCACGUGUAGCAGUGAAAUGCGUAGAGAUGUGGAGGAACACCGAUGGCGAAGGCAGCCCCCUGGGUCAAGAUUGACGCUCAUGCACGAAAGCGUGGGGAGCAAACAGG